AAAUUUUGACAAUGGGGGCAACCCUGAUCCAGCCAAGCCGCGUGUGUGAAAAAGGUCUUCGGAUUGUAAAGCACUUUUAGUUGGGAGGAAGGGCUUUAGGUUAAUAACCUGUAGUUUGGACGUUAACAAGAGAAUAACGACAGGGCAACUUUUGGCCAACAGCCGGGGUAAUACAGAGGGUGCAAGCGUUUAUCGGAAUUACUGGGCGUAAGGCGGGCGUAGGGGGUUCAGUAAGAUGGGUGUGAAAUCCCCGGGCUUAACCUGGGAACUGCUUUCAUAACUGCUGAGCUAGAGUACGGUAGAGGGUAGUGGAAUUUCCUGUGUAGCGGUGAAAUGCGUAGAUAUAGGAAGGAACACCAGUGGCGAAGGCGACUACCUGGACUGAUACUGACACUGAGGUGCGAAAGCGUGGGGAGCAAAU
rnacentral:rRNA from 1 species